CUUGACUUAUAAUAAGAGGUCCAGCCUGCCCAGUGAAUUUUUAACGGCCGCGGUAUCCUAACCGCGCGAAGGUAGCAUAAUCACUUGUUCUUUAAAUGGGGACUCGUAUCAACGGCAUCACGAGGGUUUUACUGUCUCCUCUUUUUGAUCAGUGAAAUUGAUCUUCCCGUGAAGAAGCGGGAAUAAUCCUAUAAGACGAGAAGACCCCAUGGAGCUUUAAACCAAAUAACAACUUAACCACUUACCCCAUUAGAAAUUUAAGCCCUGUUAUAAGGUUUUUGGUUGGGGUGACCGCGGAGUAAAGAACAUCCUCCACGACGGAAAGAACACACUCUUUAUUUAAGAACCACAAUUCUAGAAAUUAGUAUACUAACGUUUACUGACCCGAUAAUCGAUCAACGGACCA
rnacentral:rRNA from 1 species